rnacentral:rRNA from 1 species
UGGGGAAUAUUGCACAAUGGGCGCAAGCCUGAUGCAGCCAUGCCGCGUGUGUGAAGAAGGCCUUCGGGUUGUAAAGCACUUUCAGCGAGGAGGAAGGUGGUGAGCUUAAUACGCUCAUCAAUUGACGUUACUCACAGAAGAAGCACCGGCUAACUCCGUGCCAGCAGCCGCGGUAAUACGGAGGGUGCAAGCGUUAAUCGGAAUUACUGGGCGUAAAGCGCACGCAGGCGGUUUGUUAAGUCAGAUGUGAAAUCCCCGGGCUCAACCUGGGAACUGCAUUUGAAACUGGCAAGCUAGAGUCUCGUAGAGGGGGGUAGAAUUCCAGGUGUAGCGGUGAAAUGCGUAGAGAUCUGGAGGAAUACCGGUGGCGAAGGCGGCCCCCUGGACGAAGACUGACGCUCAGGUGCGAAAGCGUGGGGCAGCAAACAGGAUUAGAUACCCUGGUAGUCCACGCUGUAAACGAUGUCGAUUUUGGAGGUUGUGCCCUUGAGGCGUGGCUUCCGGAGCUAACGCGUUAAAGUCGACCGCCUGGGGAGUACGGCCGCAAGGUUAAAACUUAAAGGAAUUGACGGGGUCAU